rnacentral:lncRNA from 1 species
AGAAACACAUCGCGGCUCAAGAUGCUGUCCGGCCUUUUGAUUAUUGUCAUUAAGAGACUCAAAGAGCUCGAAAUUUUCCACCAAAAGCGAUCAGCUGACACAACAUACUACUGCAACGGAUUAACCUCUAAGAUCUACUAAGCUGACUUCACAGGCUUGAAAUGAGGCACAUAAAGCACUCGGACAUGAGAGCAUAUAAGCUACAAAGCCCUAUAUACAAAGGUCGGGCUUCUAAUCAUCCAUUAGAGAGCAUAAGCUACAAAGCCUAUGCACUCGGUUCUCCCAUUGUAACUUGGUUACUCAAAAUCUCGAGAUCAGGUGCACACGGUUCUCCCAUUGUAACUUGGUUACUCAAAAUCUCAAGAUCAGGUGCACUCGGUUCUCCCAUUGUAACUUGGUUACUCAAACCCUUGAGAUCAGGCUUGACAGCUAAUGAUUUCUGCAUCAAUGUUAGGCCCUCGAACAUCACCAAGGGGUGUGCCUCUAGCAGUGACGACUUCUGGC